rnacentral:lncRNA from 1 species
UUUGUUUUGUCAUGGAAUAUUUUGGGUUCUCAGUCCAUGAUAAUUGAGAGUUUUGCUGGGUAUAGUAGUAGCCUGUGUCAGCAUUUGUGUUCUCUUAGGGUCUGUAUGACAUCUGUCUAGGGUCUUCUGGCUUUUUAUUGUCUCUGUUGAGAAGUCUAGUAUAAUUCUGAUAGUUCUGCCUUUAUAUGUAUGCAUUUCCCUUAUCACUUUUAAUAUUCUUUCUUUGUUUUGUGAAUUUAGCUUUUUGAUUAUUAUGUUUGACAGGAUUGUCUUUUCUAGUCCAAUCUAGUUGGUGUUCUGUAGGCUUCUUGUAUAUUUAUGGGCCAUCCCUUUCUUUAGGUUGGAGAAUUUUCUUCUAUGAUUUUGUUGAAGGUGUUUUCUGGUUCUUUGAGCUAUGAAUCUUCACUCUGUUCCAUUCCUAUUAUGCUUAGGUUUGGUCUUUUCAUUGUGUUCUGGAUUUCCUGGAUGUUUUUAGGAGCUUUUUAUGCUUUAUAUUUUCUUUGACCAUUGUGUGAAUAUCUUCUAUGGCUUCUUCUAUGCCUGAGGUUCUCUCUUCUAUCUCUUGUAUUCUGUUGUUGAUGUUUGCAUCUGUAGUUCUUGAUCUCAUUUCUAGGUUUUCCAUUUCCAGAGUUGCCUCCAUUUGUGAUUUCUUUAUUGUUCUACUUCCACUUUUAGGUCUUAGUCAGCUUUGUUCAAUUCCUUCACCUGUUUGAUUGUGUUUCUUUAAGGGACUUAUGUGUUUCCUCUUUAAGGGCUUCUACCUGAUUGCCUAUGUUUUCCUAUAUUUCCUUAAAUGAGGUUUUAAAAAAUAUCCUCCUUAAGUAUCUCUCUUAUCUUCAUGAGAUGGGAUUUUAUGUCAGCAUCAUGCUUUUUAGAGUGUGUUGGAGUAGUCAGGGUUUGAUGUGGUGGGAGAAUUGGGUUCUGUUGCUUAUGUUCUUAUGCUUACCUCUUACCAUCUGGUUAUCUCUGGUGUUAACCAGCCUGGUUGUCUCUGUCUGGAGCCUGUCUCCUGAGUCCCUGGUUGUAGCAGAUCUCCUGGGAGACCUGUUGCCCUUGUUGCAGCAAUCUUCUGGGAGUCCUGCACACUGUGGUGUUGUUAGAGGGGUAGACAGGCUGAUCUGCCCUUGCAGAGGUGCAGACUUAAAGGGGUUCUUUGGAGAUCUUAAGAAUAGAAUUAGAAAUACCAGUCUUUGAGUCACUGAAGCAGCAGUGGUCCAUAGUUGUGCGUCUAUGUAUGUGUAUGUGCAUCUAAUGUUUCUGAUCUCCGAUACUCUGAGACUUGGCAGCAAUGGCAGUUCAGUAGUAUUGAAUGUACUAGUGCCAAGAUUUGUUUCUAAUAUGAUUGCUCAUUAUGAAGAGAGUAAGGACUCUCCUUAAAGAAAUGGUAUUCUGUGCCAAGAUAAAGAAGUGUUGAAAGAAUGAAAAAAGUAAACUGUUCAAAUUCCAUGGGAUUCAGGGAAUCCCACUGGCCAAAUUGUUGGUAUUUUCAAUGCCAAAAUAAAUAAUAAAUGUAACUCAUUGAAUAAAUUGAAAUUCAUGAGUACAGACUGAUAUAAAUAUAAGAACAAGAAUAAAGAAAGAAAGCUGGACAGAAAGUAAGAAUAUGGAAGACUUAGUUGUUGAGUAUGAUUUGAACUGUGCAGACCUGGCCCAAGAGAUUUUAGUGGAGAAGAAUUUCAGUAUGUGGUUAGAGACAGUUUUUGUGGUAUUUUGGUGAAGAAUGUGGCUACUUUUUGCCCUUGUCCAAAGAGUCUACCUGAGGCUAAAGUAACGAUAAAUAGUAAAAGAUAAAUAGAUAAAGUAUAAAUAAUACUAAUUGCAUUGAGAACGGAAGUCUCAAAAAAGCCCAACAGAGACUUUGUUCUCUGGUUUAGUCUUAUGAAGAGUGUUUUAAUGAAAAGGAGAAAGC